UACGGAGGGUGCAAGCGUUAUCCGGAUUCACUGGGUUUAAAGGGUGCGUAGGUGGGCAAGUAAGUCAGUGGUGAAAUCUCCGGGCUUAACCCGGAAACUGCCAUUGAUACUAUUUGUCUUGAAUACUGUGGAGGUCAGCGGAAUAUGUCAUGUAGCGGUGAAAUGCUUAGAUAUGACAUAGAACACCAAUUGCGAAGGCAGCUGGCUACACAAAUAUUGACACUGAGGCACGAAAGCGUGGGGAUCAAACAGGAAUUGAGAA
rnacentral:rRNA from 1 species